AAAUUGAAGAGUUUGAUCAUGGCUCAGAUUGAACGCUGGCGGCAGGCCUAACACAUGCAAGUCGAGCGGAAACGAGUUAUCAGAACCUUCGGGGAACGAUAACGGCGUCGAGCGGCGGACGGGUGAGUAAUGCCUAGGAAAUUGCCCUGAUGUGGGGGAUAACCAUUGGAAACGAUGGCUAAUACCGCAUGAUGCCUUCGGGCCAAAGAGGGGGACCUUCGGGCCUCUCGCGUCAGGAUAUGCCUAGGUGGGAUUAGCUAGUUGGUGAGGUAAGGGCUCACCAAGGCGACGAUCCCUAGCUGGUCUGAGAGGAUGAUCAGCCACACUGGAACUGAGACACGGUCCAGACUCCUACGGGAGGCAGCAGUGGGGAAUAUUGCACAAUGGGCGCAAGCCUGAUGCAGCCAUGCCGCGUGUGUGAAGAAGGCCUUCGGGUUGUAAAGCACUUUCAGUCGUGAGGAAGGUAGUGUAGUUAAUAGCUGCAUUAUUUGACGUUAGCGACAGAAGAAGCACCGGCUAACUCCGUGCCAGCAGCCGCGGUAAUACGGAGGGUGCGAGCGUUAAUCGGAAUUACUGGGCGUAAAGCGCAUGCAGGUGGUUUGUUAAGUCAGAUGUGAAAGCCCGGGGCUCAACCUCGGAAUUGCAUUUGAAACUGGCAGACUAGAGUACUGUAGAGGGGGUAGAAUUUCAGGUGUAGCGGUGAAAUGCGUAGAGAUCUGAAGGAAUACCGGUGGCGAAGGCGGCCCCCUGGACAGAUACUGACACUCAGAUGCGAAAGCGUGGGGAGCAAACAGGAUUAGAUACCCUGGUAGUCCACGCCGUAAACGAUGUCUACUUGGAGGUUGUGGCCUUGAGCCGUGGCUUUCGGAGCUAACGCGUUAAGUAGACCGCCUGGGGAGUACGGUCGCAAGAUUAAAACUCAAAUGAAUUGACGGGGGCCCGCACAAGCGGUGGAGCAUGUGGUUUAAUUCGAUGCAACGCGAAGAACCUUACCUACUCUUGACAUCCAGAGAACUUUCCAGAGAUGGAUUGGUGCCUUCGGGAACUCUGAGACAGGUGCUGCAUGGCUGUCGUCAGCUCGUGUUGUGAAAUGUUGGGUUAAGUCCCGCAACGAGCGCAACCCUUAUCCUUGUUUGCCAGCGAGUAAUGUCGGGAACUCCAGGGAGACUGCCGGUGAUAAACCGGAGGAAGGUGGGGACGACGUCAAGUCAUCAUGGCCCUUACGAGUAGGGCUACACACGUGCUACAAUGGCGCAUACAGAGGGCGGCCAACUUGCGAAAGUGAGCGAAUCCCAAAAAGUGCGUCGUAGUCCGGAUUGGAGUCUGCAACUCGACUCCAUGAAGUCGGAAUCGCUAGUAAUCGUGGAUCAGAAUGCCACGGUGAAUACGUUCCCGGGCCUUGUACACACCGCCCGUCACACCAUGGGAGUGGGCUGCAAAAGAAGUAGGUAGUUUAACCUUCGGGGGGACGCUUACCACUUUGUGGUUCAUGACUGGGGUGAAGUCGUAACAAGGUAGCGCUAGGGGAACCUGGCGCUGGAUCACCUCCUUA
rnacentral:rRNA from 1 species